rnacentral:rRNA from 1 species
AAAUUGAAGAGUUUGAUCAUGGCUCAGAUUGAACGCUGGCGGCAGGCCUAACACAUGCAAGUCGAACGGUAGCACAGAGAGCUUGCUCUCGGGUGACGAGUGGCGGACGGGUGAGUAAUGUCUGGGAAACUGCCUGAUGGAGGGGGAUAACUACUGGAAACGGUGGCUAAUACCGCAUAACGUCGCAAGACCAAAGAGGGGGACCUUCGGGCCUCUUGCCAUCAGAUGUGCCCAGAUGGGAUUAGCUUGUUGGUGAGGUAACGGCUCACCAAGGCGACGAUCCCUAGCUGGUCUGAGAGGAUGACCAGCCACACUGGAACUGAGACACGGUCCAGACUCCUACGGGAGGCAGCAGUGGGGAAUAUUGCACAAUGGGCGCAAGCCUGAUGCAGCCAUGCCGCGUGUAUGAAGAAGGCCUUC